GACGAACGCUGGCGGCGUGCUUAACACAUGCAAGUCGAACGGAAAGGCCCUGCUUUUGUGGGGUGCUCGAGUGGCGAACGGGUGAGUAACACGUGAGUAACCUGCCCUUGACUUUGGGAUAACUUCAGGAAACUGGGGCUAAUACCGGAUAGGAGCUCCUGCUGCAUGGUGGGGGUUGGAAAGUUUCGGCGGUUGGGGAUGGACUCGCGGCUUAUCAGCUUGUUGGUGGGGUAGUGGCUUACCAAGGCUUUGACGGGUAGCCGGCCUGAGAGGGUGACCGGCCACAUUGGGACGGAGAUACGGCCCAGACCACUACGGGAGGCAGCAGUGGGGAAUAUUGCACAAUGGGCGGAAGCCUGAUGCAGCAACGCCGCGUGCGGGAUGACGGCCUUCGGGUUGGAAACCGCUUUCGCCUGUGACGAAGCGUGAGUGACGGUAAUGGGUAAAGAAGCACCGGCUAACUACGUG
rnacentral:rRNA from 1 species